UCGAGGAUCUCCGGCAAUGGGCGCAAGCCUGACCGAGCGACGCCGCGUGUGCGAUGAAGGCCUUCGGGUUGUAAAGCACUGUCGGGAGGGAGAAAAGGGGCAACCCUUGAUCGACCUCCGGAGGAAGCACGGGCUAAGUUCGUGCCAGCAGCCGCGGUAAGACGAACCGUGCGAACGUUGUUCGGAAUCACUGGGCUUAAAGGGCGCGUAGGCGGGUUCUCAAGUCUGGAGUGAAAGCCCACGGCUCAACCGUGGAAGCGCUUCGGAUACUGGGGGCCUCGAGGGAGGUAGGGGCGUGCGGAACUUCCGGUGGAGCGGUGAAAUGCGUAGAUAUCGGAAGGAACACCGGUGGCGAAAGCGGCGCGCUGGACCUCUUCUGACGCUGAGGCGCGAAAGCCAGGGGAGCAAACGG
rnacentral:rRNA from 1 species